rnacentral:lncRNA from 1 species
GAGGAUCUAGCCAUGAUGACUAUGGGUAUCGGAGGUCUCCCAAGCGAUCACCUUUUCGCGGCGGACGUGAUUACUCCCCCCGGCGAUCACCAUAUGGUGGAAGGUCAAGAAGGGAUAGGUCAAGGUCCUAUUCUCCUUACCGUAGUCCUGAAAGGAACUAUGCUCGUGGCUCUAGAUGAAACUUGGUACCAGGUUUUGGUAUCUGUUUAUGGGGAAAACUGUUUCAUAGAUUUUUUUCGGUUGUUUUCUUGGUAGGAUUGGAAUGAGGAUGCUUGGAUUGUUUACUUCUGUUGUUGGUCAGGUGUGUGCACUUUUUUAUACCCUGUUAGCUAAGUGUG